GUCAGCUUCAGCAGGAACUCGAAGGCACAGUUCACAUCCUCUGUGAAAUCCUUGUCCCCGUGGGGAUAGUUCUUCAGUUCAACCAGGACCUGAGGGAUCUUCAGGAAGGUAAAGGCUGUCCACUUCAGCUCCUCUGUGCCCUCUGGGGACUCGAUGAGGCCCACGAAACACGCCUUCCAGAUCUCCAGCAUGAAGAGCGGGGAAGGGAUGCGCUGCAUCCUCUUCACCAUCAUCAGCUGCUCCACCAGAGGCUGGAUCUCUCCUGUGAGGUUCAUGGUCCCCUCCAGCAGCACCACAGCAUGCACGGUGGGGAAGCCAGUCUUGUUCAGCUGCUCAGAGCGAACUGAUAGCAUGGUGG
rnacentral:lncRNA from 1 species